rnacentral:lncRNA from 1 species
GAGCUCCGUCGCUAUUCCCCGCUUUAUAGGUAAAAAUCAUUUAUACCUUUGAAUAAGGUUGCUUUUCUUGCCAAGAUAGUGCUCGAAGAAGAUAGUAUGCUUCCCACAAAUCACGAUGAAUUACAUCAACAUCCUCAUCCUCCUCUUGAAAUUGGCUUGUGACAUACAUUCUAUGCACUUUUCAACAUUACUAAGAUGUCUUGAUGUCUUUCCUUUUGUUACUAGAGCUUGUGCCUUUUCAAGUUCCUUUCUCAUCUUCAUUGAAAAAUGUUAGCCUUUAUAAAACAGCAUAACCGAAACAUAAAAAUAAUCCAUAUGUGAGCCACAAUAAAAGGUGUACUUAUUUCUUCAAAAAUGAUCUUACUAUGUUUUCUUUAGAUUGAAGAAGAG